AACGUUAUUUGACGAAAAGUUAACGUUGUUGCUUUGAUACGCACUAAGAGACUUUAACAAAUUUAGUUUUAAGUCCUAUUGAUAAAAUUUGAGCAAAACCGAGGUUUAGUAAUAUAUACCAAAUUUCGAAGCUCUCCCGGCGAAGCCGUGUCGGGUUCUAACCUGACCAUGUUUGUCGGGCCGGCAAAAACUCGCCAGUUUAAACCGGUUGAGUUGUACAUACCGGGAUCCAAGCAGCCCGUGACUGCACGAGAUGAGUCAACGAAGCGUCUCUAUCGUGAGGAGCCCGAGAUGUGGAGGAUAUUCCGGCGUCUGUAUGAAGUACCUGAUCUAGGCGUCAUCAAACCGGAUACAGUCACGAUGCCAGACUGGCCAAGGUCGAGUGUCUAUACCGGACAAGGAUGGCAUGCGAUGUAUGUGUAACGAGAAACUGAUGCGGCUGAUAAGAGAUCAAGCCAUCAUCCGGCCUCCGAAAAUAUUCCGCGUUCCCAAUAGCCAGGCGAAAAACGUACACCCCAGCUGGACGAAACGAGCUUUCAAAAGUUUCUAUAGCAACCAGCAGCUUCAGUUUCCCAUAGCAACCGUGGUCGUGAGGUGGAAACAAUGUCAUCACUUACCAAACUAUGACAUCACAGGGUUACGGGACACGCUUAGCA